rfam:Asian citrus Psyllid, Diaphorina citri - Florida Strain, whole genome shotgun sequence.
GCUUCACUUGCCUGUCGCGCUACCUCAGUACUUCAGCUGUGUUUUUCAUGCCGUCAGCCAGGUACCUGAAGUAGCGCGCGAGGCGGGUGUAA